GACGUAGGGCGCGAGCGUUGUCCGGAUUUAUUGGGCGUAAAGAGCUCGUAGGCGGCUUGUCGCGUCGACUGUGAAAACUCGGGGCUCAACUCCGAGCUUGCAGUCGAUACGGGCAGGCUAGAGUUCGGUAGGGGAGACUGGAAUUCCUGGUGUAGCGGUGAAAUGCGCAGAUAUCAGGAAGAACACCCGUGGCGAAGGCGGCUCUCUGGAACGCAACUGACGCUGAGACGCGAAAGCGUGGGGAGCAAACAGG
rnacentral:rRNA from 1 species